rnacentral:rRNA from 1 species
AACGAACGCUGGCGGCAGGCUUAACACAUGCAAGUCGAACGGGUGUAGCAAUACAUCAGUGGCAGACGGGUGAGUAACACGUGGGAACCUUCCUCGUUGUACGGGACAACUCAGGGAAACUUGAGCUAAUACCGUAUACGUCCGAGAGGAGAAAGAUUUAUCGCAAUGAGACGGGCCCGCGUCGGAUUAGCUAGUUGGUGGGGUAACGGCCUACCAAGGCGACGAUCCGUAGCUGAUCNGAGAGGAUGAUCAGCCACACUGGGACUGAGACACGGCCCAGACUCCUACGGGAGGCAGC